UACGUAGGUGGCGAGCGUUGUCCGGAUUUACUGGGCGUAAAGGGAGCGUAGGCGGACUUUUAAGUGAGGUGUGAAAUACCCGGGCUCAACUUGGGUGCUGCAUUUCAAACUGGAAGUCUAGAGUGCAGGAGAGGAGAAUGGAAUUCCUAGUGUAGCGGUGAAAUGCGUAGAGAUUAGGAGGAACACCAGUUGCGAAGGCGGCUCUCUGGACUGUAACUGACACUGAGGCACGAAAGCGUGGGGAGCAAACAGGAUUAGAUACCCGCGUA
rnacentral:rRNA from 1 species